rnacentral:rRNA from 1 species
CGAAUGCUGACAUAAGUAACGAUAAAGCGGGUGAAAAGCCCGCUCGCCGGAAGACCAAGGGUUCCUGUCCAACGUUAAUCGGGGCAGGGUGAGUCGACCCCUAAGGCGAGGCCGAAAGGCGUAGUCGAUGGGAAACAGGUUAAUAUUCCUGUACUUGGUGUUACUGCGAAGGGGGGACGGAGAAGGCUAUGUUGGCCGGGCGACGGUUGUCCCGGUUUAAGCGUGUAGGCUGGUUUUCCAGGCAAAUCCGGAAAAUCAAGGCUGAGGCGUGAUGACGAGGCACUACGGU